rnacentral:rRNA from 1 species
GACGAACGCUGGCGGCGUGCUUAAUACAUGCAAGUCGAACGGAAAGGCCCUGCUCUUGCGGGGUGCUCGAGUGGCGAACGGGUGAGUAACACGUGAGUAAAAUGCCCUUGACUUAGGGAUAACUUCUGGAAAAUGGGGAUAAUACCGGAUAGGAGCUACUGCUGCACGGUGGGGGAUGGUAAGAUUCGGCGGUUGGGGAUGGUCUCGAGGCUUAUCAGCUUGUUGGUGGGGUAGUGGCUUACGAAGGCUAUGACGGGUAGCCGGCCUGGGAGGGUGACCGGCCACAAUGGGACUGAGGGACGGACCAGACUCGUACGUGAGGCAGCAGGGGGGAGUAUGGCGGAGUGGGGGGAAGCCUGAGGCAGCAACGCCGCGUGCGUGAUGACCUCCUUCUGGUUGUAAACCGCUUUCUCCGGUGACGAAGCGUGAUUGACGGUAAUUAGUAAGGAAGCACCGGCUAACUACGUG